rnacentral:lncRNA from 1 species
AAAUAAGUCUAAUAUCCUCUUUCAUAAAUUUCACUCCAAUCCAACUAAUAAAUUGCAAGAAAUCUUGAAAAUCCUCACUAGACCUAAAAAUCUAUUUUCUGAGACCUUGAUCCACUUAAACCUCAAUAAUCCUCAAUUCAACCAUUAGAUCGAGAUCAAAUUCACAACACAUAUUAAACACAACUAUAACCAUGAAUCCACAAAAUUUCACUUGUAGAUCUAUAAAAAAGCUCUUGAAAUCACCCAAAAUAUAAAUCCUAUUUUAUUUCAAAAAACUCAAGUUAUCCAAAAAAAACCUUGAAUUUGUAAAGCUUUUACAAAGUCA